rnacentral:rRNA from 1 species
GAGUUUGAUCAUGGCUCAGGAUGAACGCUAGCGGGAGGCCUAACACAUGCAAGCCGAGCGGUAGAGAUCUUUCGGGAUCUUGAGAGCGGCGUACGGGUGCGGAACACGUGUGCAACCUGCCUUUAUCAGGGGGAUAGCCUUUCGAAAGGAAGAUUAAUACCCCAUAAUAUAUUGAGUGGCAUCACUUAAUAUUGAAAACUCCGGUGGAUAGAGAUGGGCACGCGCAAGAUUAGAUAGUUGGUGAGGUAACGGCUCACCAAGUCUGCGAUCUUUAGGGGGCCUGAGAGGGUGAUCCCCCACACUGGUACUGAGACACGGACCAGACUCCUACGGGAGGCAGCAGUGAGGAAUAUUGGACAAUGGGUGCGAGCCUGAUCCAGCCAUCCCGCGUGAAGGACGACGGCCCUAUGGGUUGUAAACUUCUUUUGUAUAGGGAUAAACCUACUCUCGUGAGAGUAGCUGAAGGUACUAUACGAAUAAGCACCGGCUAACUCCGUGCCAGCCGCCGCGGUAAUUC